GGAUGUGAGGGCGAUCUGGCUGCGACAUCUGUCACCCCAUUGAUCGCCAGGGUUGAUUCGGCUGAUCUGGCUGGCUAGGCGGGUGUCCCCUUCCUCCCUCACCGCUCCAUGUGCGUCCCUCCCGAAGCUGCGCGCUCGGUCGAAGAGGACGACCUUCCCCGAAUAGAGGAGGACCGGUCUUCGGUCAAGGGUAUACGAGUAGCUGUGCUCCCCUGCUAGAACCUCCAAACAAGCUCUCAAGGAAAAGAACUUCAGCAGGGUACACGGGUGAUAAUGCUUCUACAAACCACUUUAAAUGCCACAGU
rnacentral:snRNA from 1 species